UCUCUCCUUCCCCUUCCCCUCUUAAAGCUUACACAUCCCGGGUGCCAGUCCCUCCGGGCUCUCUCAGGAGCGAAGCUUAAAGUAGAACAGCUUAUAAACCAUUUGUGUCCUACCUUCUCCCCAGACACUUGAGAAUGUCAACGGGGGCUCUCAGUGCUUUGAGUUAAAGGCUGGGAGCAAUGUUGGCCUUUUAGGUUCCUAGGAGACCAGGAGGAGAAAGAAUUUGGAACCCUGGAAGGAAUAUAAGGGCUGCUGUCCAGUGUCUUUUACAUCACGCUUUGAGGUGGCUGUCCAGGAAACUACUGCCUUGAGAAAACUGCAUUUCUGAAGAUAGAAAGUGAGGUCAUUGAUUUGAGACUUUUCUUCUUUCAUAAUUUGGCAUUCACAAGGCUAGACCUCUUCCUAAUCAACUCUGACCAGCCAGCUCAUUGUUGAAUGCUCUGUAUUGCCCACCAAAGGCAUGCCUGAGACUCAAGACGCUUGACUGACAUGUCCAAGGCAUAUUCUUCUCAGUCUCUUAGGCUCUAACCUGAUGGCAAGUCAUAGUACCAAAGUCUGAUGUAGACAGAAACUCCACUAAACAGUGCUCCAACUCAAUACUGUGUCUACCUUUCUAUCAUUGGUUGGAAUUAGAAGCAUCACUAUAAAUAUGU